rnacentral:lncRNA from 1 species
AUUCGUCCGAAGCUGACGCUGUUUUGCUGUGAGAAGGGCGCGCACGUCUACCAUGCCAUCUACAUGGAGCUGCUCACGCAGGAGGAGCUGCGAUGCAAGUGCGCGCAACUGUUCAACGUUGCAGCCAGCGCCAUCGAAAACCUGCUGCUGAAGGGACCCUCUGCCAUUAAGGUCAUCAUCACUGAAGAGGUAAUUCGAAACUUCAAGGACAGAAGUCGAUACGUUCUGGAGUUGCAGAAAGUGCCCACCAAUCAGUUCGAUAUCAUUCUGGGUUUGCCGGAAUGAUAGGCAGGGAGCGAUGCUCUCAUACGUGCUGACGGAACAUGGUCCACAAUGCCACGUCGAGUCGCAUCAAGCGUCGUUCUCGCGCGGCUACAUCCGACAUGUAUGUGUCAGCGCAUGUAAGCCAGCGGCGGACAUAUCUGUUACACGUCUAGGGGAGUGCGGGGAAGGAGAGGUGGGGGGGCGCCGCGGUAGCGUUGCGUAGAGGUUGCGACAUUUCCAGUGCCGGCUACCCGCCACUCGUCCGUGUCUCGCAGCGGUGGUGGCAGCACCGGUCGCACGCACAAGUCGUGGCGACGGCGAGACGCCUCGUCGUUAUUCGUUGUCGGUCGUCGAGCUGUUGCCGUUCUGUGAUGGCGACGUUUACAGUGAGUGUUGUGAACAUGCACAUACCUGCCUAACGCGCGCGCGCGCGCGAUCGCAGGAUGCUUGCUUGCUACGUGUCAGCAACACUGCCGAGGAUGUGGGGGGGGGAAGCGCGGUGGCCCGGCCAUUUAAUGUUUUAACACGCAAGUCGGUGUCGUCUGUGUGUGUUUUGGUCUUUUUUGGACAUUUUUACGUUUCGCGGACCGGGAUCGGAGUAACACUACUCGUGGGUGUGGCCUAUAGGAAUUAGGAUACGGGUCGAUGGUAGGUCAAUGCGCGUUCAAGACGUUAACGCGUUUUUGUUUUUUCGAGAGUGGUGAAACUGUACAAUCUCCUACAGUGGCACCGAACUGUCUAUACAGAGGGAACAGUAUGCGUUCAAAAUGUUAGCAUUUGUGUAGUACGUAUCUCACAGUUUGUAGUGGUAAUUUGUCUGUAGAGGGCGCUAUCAGUAGAACAGGCUAGUAGUAUUGUAGAUUGAUAGGGGGUUUUGUCGAUAUUUAUAAAGCGUUUUAUUACAUGUUCGUCAAGGAGGGAAAAUAAUUUUACGUGGACCAUUGUUUAGUCGAAAGGUUUAUCAGUACACCGAACCCACAGGUGCUCUCCGGCAAGGGGUGUGGUCCAUUAUGUUGUGUUGUCUUUGUUUACAUUGUGAUAUAUAUAUAUAAAUAUAAGUCUCACACGCUCACGUUUGCCUGCAUGUUGUGUAGCAGGAAAAACAAAGGAAGUGAAAGAGGUCACAAGUGAGCGAGAGAGAGAGAGGAGUGUGUGGGAAAUGGGGAGAGAGAGGGGGGGAGAGAUCAGGGAAAGAGAGUGGGAGAGAAAGAGAGAGAGAAUAUAAGUGAGAGAUAGAUAGUGGGAGAGAAAUAUAGGCAGGGCAGUUACUAGAAUGGCCACUAAUCAAUUUCUGAUGGAAAUGACGUCCAACACAGAUUUCUAAAUAUAUCGAAAGUUCCAUUGGUUGUUGAUGUUUGAGGUUAUGCUGCUAUUCAACUAUGUAAUAUAUGAUGUAGUUAACAAGUGAUUCAGUUCAAUGUUGUACAUAUAUUUUGUGUACAUAUUACAUGUUGGUAUGUAUAAAAUAAAUUCCUUUUACUCUUGA